rnacentral:piRNA from 1 species
UUCAGUUCUUGUUUCCAGGCUCCUGCAUUC